AUCCUGGUGGGACAGCUGUCCCCCUGCAACCCAUGGAGAUCCAUAGUGGAGCAGACAUCCACCUGCAGCCUAUGGAGGACCCCACGCUGGAGCAAGUGGAUGCACU